AGUGGGUUCGCGAGCCAGGGGGAGGGGCCGGGCCGGUGGCGGCGGAGGAGGAGGAGGUGGCGGCGGGGGCCGGUACUGGGCCCGGCGGGAUGAGCGAGGCGGAGGCGGCAGUGGUGGCGACAGCGGCCCCCGCGGCCACGGUGCCCGCGACGGCGGCAGGGGUGGUAGCGGUGGUGGUUCCGGUGCCCGCAGGGGAGUCGCAGAAAGCAGGCAGCGGGGCGGGCGGAGUCGGAGCCGCAGCCUCCUCGGGCCCCGCUGCUGGGACCCCCUCGGCGCCGGGCCCCCGCACCCCUGGCAACCCAGCGACGGCGGCCUCGGGGACCCCCGCGCCCCCGGCCCGGAGUCAGGCGGACAAGCCGGUGCUGGCAAUCCAAGUCCUGGGCACUGUCAAAUGGUUCAACGUGCGGAAUGGUUACGGAUUCAUCAACAGGAAUGACACCAAGGAGGAUGUCUUUGUUCACCAGACAGCUAUUAAAAGAAACAACCCGAGGAAGUUUCUGCGCAGCGUUGGAGAUGGGGAGACUGUGGAGUUCGAUGUCGUGGAAGGAGAGAAGGGCGCAGAAGCUGCUAAUGUAACUGGGCCCGGCGGGGUGCCAGUGAAGGGCAGCCGCUAUGCCCCCAACCGACGUAGGUUCCGCCGAUUCAUCCCCCGGCCCCGCCCAGCUGCCCCGCCACCCAUGGUGGCAGAGGCUCCAUCGGGCCGGACAGAACUAGGCAGCGAAGGGGAGCGUGCUGAAGACUCCGGGCAGCGGCCCAGACGACGGCGCCCACCGCCCUUCUUCUACCGACGGCGCUUUGUGCGAGGCCCUCGGCCCCCCAACCAGCAGCCGCCCAUAGAGGGCACUGAUGGGGCAGAACCCAAAGAGAGAGCCCCGUUGGAGGGGGACCAACAGCAGGGAGAUGAGCGGGUACCCCCACCCAGAUUCCGGCCCAGGUACCGAAGGCCUUUCCACCCCAGGCCACCCCAGCAGCCCACCACAGAAAGUGGGGAUGGCGAGACCAAGCCCAGCCAAGGCCCCACUGACGGUUCCCGGCCUGAGCCCCAGCGCUCACGAAACCGCCCCUACUUCCAGCGGAGACGUCAGCAGCCCCCUGGACCCGGGCGGCCCACAGCCCCAGAGCCUGACACCCAAGAGACAGUGCUGCUGGGUCCACGCCUGGCGGGCACCCCAACCCACCAGGAAACCCCAGCAGAGGCGGUCGAGCCCACGUCACCCCCUGCAGACUCCCUCUCAGCUCUGCUGGGAGCCCCAGCACCAGCCUGUGGAUGUUAACUGGGGGAGGAACGGGAAGAGAAAAGGUGGGAGGAGGUUGAAGUUGGGGGCUCCAAAGGACAAGAGGGUCUCAGUCGGCCACCCUUGUUCUCUCUAGACCUCGGCCCCCAUCAACAGUGGGGACCCCCCAACUGGCAUACCGGAGUGAUUCCAACUCGAAGGACACCCAGAGCCACCAUCUGGUAUCUGCCAGUUUUUCCAACUGACCUGGAUCCUACCCAGCACCUCCCUCCCCGCUUUCCCACAAUUCAUGACAUCGAAACACCAGCUUUUCCCCUUUUUCCUGGAGACUCAGGAGGGCCAAAGCAACAGCCUUUGGCUUUUUUUUCUCUCCCUGACCAAGGGUUAAAGGAAGGGAUCCAUCCUUAUAGUUCAGAGUCACCAACUCCCUCCCCUAAAUCAGGCUGAGAAGGAACCAGCCAGCUCUCACCUCCUCCUGGUUGUUUUUCUUUCCCCUCCCAGUUUAUUUUUUGUUUCCCCACUACCCCCUACCUCUGAAGCCAUUUUAUGAACCGUCAUGUGCCACCUGAGCCUCCAGUAAAAACAAAAACAGGCUUUCCUGUU